rnacentral:rRNA from 1 species
CCUACGGGAGGCAGCAGUGAGGAAUUUUCCGCAAUGGGCGAAAGCCUGACGGAGCAAUACCGCGUGAGGGAUGAAGGAUUUUGGUCUGUAAACCUCUUUUCUCAAGAAAGAAGUUCUGACGGUACUUGAGGAAUAAGCAUCGGCUAACUCCGUGCCAGCAGCCGCGGUAAUACGGGGGAUGCAAGCGUUAUCCGGAAUGAUUGGGCGUAAAGCGCCUGUAGGUUGUUUAUUAAGUCCGUUGUUAAAGCCUAGGGCUUAACCCUAGAAAAGCAAUGGAAACUAGUAGACUAGAGUAUGGCAGGGGUAGAGGGAAUUUCUAGUGUAGCGGUGAAAUGCGUAGAUAUUAGAAAGAACACCGGUGGCGAAAGCGCUCUACUGGACCAUUACUGACACUCAGAGGCGAAAGCUAGGGUAGCAAAAGGGAUUAGAUACCCCUGUAGUCCUAGCCGUAAACGAUGGAUACUAGAUGUUGUGCAUUAUGUACAGUAUCGUAGCUAACGCGUUAAGUAUCCCGCCUGGGGAGUACGCUCGCAAGGGUGAAACUCAAAGGAAUUAGACCGGNNGAGANGCGACGACGACACGAGGAGAG